rnacentral:rRNA from 1 species
ACUCCUACGGGAGGCAGCAGUGGGGAAUAUUGCACAAUGGGCGCAAGCCUGAUGCAGCCAUGCCGCGUGUGUGAAGAAGGCCUUCGGGUUGUAAAGCACUUUCAGUCGUGAGGAAGGUGGUAGUGUUAAUAGCACUAUCAUUUGACGUUAGCGACAGAAGAAGCACCGGCUAACUCCGUGCCAGCAGCCGCGGUAAUACGGAGGGGUGCGAGCGUUAAUCGGAAUUACUGGGGCGUAAAGCGCAUGCAGGUGGUUUGUUAAGUCAGAUGUGAAAGCCCGGGGCUCAACCUCGGAAUAGCAUUUGAAACUGGCAGACUAGAGUACUGUAGAGGGGGUAGAAUUUCAGGUGUAGCGGUGAAAUGCGUAGAGAUCUGAAGGAAUACCGGUGGCGAAGGCGGCCCCCUGGACAGAUACUGACACUCAGAUGCGAAAGCGUGGGGAGCAAACAGGAUUAGAUACCCUGGUAGCACAGAG